CCUACGGGAGGCAGCAGUGAGGAAUAUUGGUCAAUGGGCGCGAGCCUGAACCAGCCAAGUAGCGUGAAGGAUGACUGCCCUACGGGUUGUAAACUUCUUUUAUAAAGGAAUAAAGUGAGGCACGUGUGCCUUUUUGUAUGUACUUUAUGAAUAAGGAUCGGCUAACUCCGUGCCAGCAGCCGCGGUAAUACGGAGGAUCCGAGCGUUAUCCGGAUUUAUUGGGUUUAAAGGGAGCGUAGAUGGGUUGUUAAGUCAGUUGUGAAAGUUUGCGGCUCAACCGUAAUAUUGCAAGUGAAAUUGGCAGCCUUGAGUACAGGUGAGGUAGGCAGAAUUCGUGGUGUAGCGGUGAAAUGCUUAGAUAUCACGAAGAACACCGAUUGCGAAGGCAGCUUACUAAACUGCAACUGACGUUGAUGCUCGAAAGUGUGGGUAUCAAACAGGAUUAGAUACCCGAGUAGUC
rnacentral:rRNA from 1 species